GCACAACGCGAAGAACCUUACCCACCUUUGACAUGUACGGAAUCCUUUAGAGAUAGAGGAGUGCUCGAAAGAGAGCCGUAACACAGGUGCUGCAUGGCUGUCGUCAGCUCGUGUCGUGAGAUGUUGGGUUAAGUCCCGCAACGAGCGCAACCCUUGCCAUUAGUUGCUACAUUUAGUUGAGCACUCUAAUGGGACUGCCGGUGACAAACCGGAGGAAGGUGGGGAUGACGUCAAGUCCUCAUGGCCCUUAUAGGUGGGGCUACACACGUCAUACAAUGGCUGGUACAAAGGGUUGCCAACCCGCGAGGGGGAGCUAAUCCCAUAAAGCCAGUCGUAGUCCGGAUCGCAGUCUGCAACUCGACUGCGUGAAGUCGGAAUCGCUAGUAAUCGUGGAUCAGAAUGUCACGGUGAAUACGUUCCCGGGUCUUGUACACACCG
rnacentral:rRNA from 1 species